rnacentral:rRNA from 1 species
GAUGAACGCUGGCGGCGUGCCUAAUACAUGCAAGUCGAGCGAACAGACGAGGAGCUUGCUCCUCUGACGUUAGCGGCGGACGGGUGAGUAACACGUGGAUAACCUACCUAUAAGACUGGGAUAACUUCGGGAAACCGGAGCUAAUACCGGAUAAUAUAUUGAACCGCAUGGUUCAAUAGUGAAAGACGGUUUUGCUGUCACUUAUAGAUGGAUCCGCGCCGCAUUAGCUAGUUGGUAAGGUAACGGCUUACCAAGGCAACGAUGCGUAGCCGCCCUGAGAGGGUGAUCGGCCACACUGGAACCGAGACACGGUCCAGACUCCUACGGGAGGCAGCAGUAGGGAAUCUUCCGCAAUGGGCGAAAGCCUGACGGAGCAACGCCGCGUGAGUGAUGAAGGUCUUCGGAUCGUAAAACUCUGUUAUUAGGGAAGAACAAAUGUGUAAGUAACUAUGCACGUCUUGACGGUACCUAAUCAGAAAGCCACGGCUAACUACGUG